UGCGAGAUCGUGACUUGAGCCGAAGUCAGCCGCUCAACCGACCGAGCCACCCAGGCGCCCCAACAUAGGAAAGAUUUCAAUUUGGACUGAAUGAGUUUGAUUUCAGGCCAAUGGGCACGUUCUAAGGGCCCAUUGGCUCUAAAAGGAAGUUUCCUCUUCUUAUUUGUAUUUGAAACGAUCAGUAUUUAUUUGGUCAGGGAACUGAGUCUCAGAGAAAUUAAAGAAGUCACUGGUGGCUGUCAUGGCAGAAUCAGAUGUAACAUGAAAGAGAAAAGGAGUUCGAGCCAAGAACCUCAAAUCACUUAGGACAGGAGUUCAGAGUUACCGCCAACGGACGCCACACGCUUGGACUUGAUUAUCAUGUCACGUUAACAAAUGAAGAUUUUCCUUAUGAUUCAGGAUCCCCAUCCUAAUGGGCAAAGGAAGUUCUGUUGCUUCAUUAGUAACCUGGCGCUGUGUGUGGUGGAGAUAUCCCAUCGGUAGAGAGUCCAGCAGCCUUCAGGAAAUUCAGCGAGCGGAGCAUUCCAGGAAGGGUUACCCCCAUUCAUGUUCACACUGGGAGACACAGUGUCAUUCCGUGCACUGAGGGGCAGGCAGAGCAGGAAACUUCAUGGUGAGAUCUAAGGGGCAUGGAAUCUGUACCUGCCCUCCUCUCUCAUCUUAAAAUGUGUCUCUGUCAUCUUGCCACAGAGGCUUCCAAUCUGUUCACUCAGGGCUUUCCAAACUUUUCUGAGAGUACACCUAAAACUAUGGGUAAUGAGUGGCUCUCAGUGGCUGCCUAAGAUAAGAUAUUUUCCAAAACCCAGUGUUUUAAGAAGUUUCUUAUGAAUCUUCUUCUGCAUAUCUACAUGUGAUUUAUUAUGAAAAAAAGUUCUUUUCCGCUAUUUUUGAGUAAAACAUAUCUGUCAACAUCUAUGUCAUGUUUAGUUUGUGAUGAGUGCACCCUUGACAGGUCAAAGCUUCACUUGGACACAGCAUGGCUACUGUUUAAGAUACCGUGUCUCGCUGAAUAUUCUGUGAAAAUGUUAAGUUUCUGGAGGAGAUGCCCUAACAGAGAGAGACAGAGCAUGAACAGGGGAGGGGCAGAGAGAGAG